AGUGAACGCUGGCGGUAGGCCUAACACAUGCAAGUCGAACGGCAGCACAGUAAGAGCUUGCUCUUACGGGUGGCGAGUGGCGGACGGGUGAGGAAUACAUCGGAAUCUACUUUUUCGUGGGGGAUAACGUAGGGAAACUUACGCUAAUACCGCAUACGCCCUACGGUUGAAAGCAGGGGAUCUUCGGACCUUGCGCGAUUGAAUGAGCCGAUGUCGGAUUAGCUAGUUGGCGGGGUAAAGGCCCACCAAGGCGACGAUCCGUAGCUGGUCUGAGAGGAUGAUCAGCCACACUGGAACUGAGACACGGUCCAGACUCCUACGGGAGGCAGCAGUGGGGAAUAUUGGACAAUGGGCGCAAGCCUGAUCCAGCCAUACCGCGUGGGUGAAGAAGGCCUUCGGGUUGUAAAGCCCUUUUGUUGGGAAAGAAAAGCAGCAGGUUAAUACCCCGCUGUUCUGACGGUACCCAAAGAAUAAGCACCGGCUAACUUCGUG
rnacentral:rRNA from 1 species